GGGUCUUGCCGGAGCAACCCCAACUCCAGUUUAGACUUUCCUUCCAGGUCCCAUCGACGGACGUGAUCCCCUCGACUCUGGCUUCUCCAACAUCGGUGGAAUUCUGCACCAAUAGAAUUGACGCUAGAGAAAGGGUUGUGUCUUCACAGUACCCUUGUUCUUAAAUGAGUGCUCAAUGGGACCAUCUCCGAUCAUCUUCUCCAAUAUCUUCUUCUCCUUCUCCUGCC
rnacentral:lncRNA from 1 species